UAGGGAAUCUUCGGCAAUGGACGAAAGUCUGACCGAGCAACGCCGCGUGAGUGAAGAAGGCUUUCGGAUCGUAAAACUCCGUUGUUAGAGAAGAACAAGGACGUUAGUAACUGAACGUCCCCUGACGGUAUCUAACCAGAAAGCCACGGCUAACUACGUGCCAGCAGCCGCGGUAAUACGUAGGUGGCAAGCGUUGUCCGGAUUUAUCGGGCGUAAAGCGAGCGCAGGCGGUUUCUUAAGUCUGGUGUGAAAGCCCCCGGCUCAACCGGGGAGGGUCAUUGGAAGCUGGGAGACUUGAGUGCAGAAGAGGAGAGUGGAAUUCCGUGUGUAGCAGAGAAAUGCGUAGGUAUAUGGAGGAACACCGGUGGCGAAGGCGGCUCGCUGGUCUGUAACUGACGCUGAGGCUCGAAAGCGUGGGGAGCAAACAGG
rnacentral:rRNA from 1 species